GUUCUCUGCCCACAGAUGAAGAGGAUUUCUCCUUUUCUGCAGAACAGUUCCUGGAUGAAACAGGGCACAAUCUUCCUUCAAGACAAAAACGAAAAGAAAAUGAUUUCCAUUUUUCAUUUUGUGAAUGCUAAUCUUAAAGCAAUAAAGUAUGCCAUAUAAAGAAAAGCAAAGGAGAGGACUUUUGGAAUGGAACCCACGUUCGAGUACUUCUUAUCUUUGAGUCUGCUGGCGCUGCACAGAUGUGCUAUUGUGACACUGCCUCUUCGGCUCUGCUGACUCACAUGCUAAGCACUGAGGGAAGCGGCCACCUGCAAGGCAGAAGACGUCAAACUCCAAUGACUCAUUAGCAGAAUCCUCUUUCAAACACAGCCCAUGACAUGGCAAUUAGCUGAUUGGCUGGUACUUUAUCUUGUUCGCAUUAUUUCUCUACAAGUGUCAGGAAUUUUCUGAAUAAGUCAUUUAUGGAUUAACGAUUCCACACCUGUAUAAACAUUACCUCUUUGGAUGUAUAUCCUGGAACC